CACGACCUGAGCCUAAACCAAGAGUCGGACACUUUUCCUACUGAGCCACCCAGACAGAUAAGGAAACAGCUUAAUUUCAAGUAUGUGAAGUUUCAAAACCCAAUAAAAAGGAAAAAGCAGUUUUGAACCUUUGAAGGACAUUGAUUGCCAAGCAAGUUACCUCUGGCAAUUCUCCUGGAUUGAUGACCACCUCCCCUCAGAGGUGCAGUCUUCUGAUGAAACAAACUUAGCAUGUGUGGAGGAGGUGGGACCUACACUGCCUUUGCUCUGUUUUUGCCUUCAUGAUUGGUGGCCUUGCUCAUCCUUUUUCCAGUGAAAUUAUUCUUCCUGGGGCAGCCAGCAACAAAGCCAAACAGGCUGAUCUUCCAGCUUGGGAAUCAGGUUAAUCAAACUCACUGGCACUUUAGAUUUGAAGGGUAGAUGAACUGAUUGAAUUUCUGGAUGAAAUGGAUUCAU